UACGGAGGGAGCUAGCGUUGUUCGGAAUUACUGGGCGUAAAGCGCACGUAGGCGGCGAUUCAAGUCAGAGGUGAAAGCCCGGGGCUCAACUCCGGAACUGCCUUUGAAACUAGAUUGCUAGAAUCUUGGAGAGGCGAGUGGAAUUCCGGGUGUAGAGGUGAAAUUCGUAGAUAUUCGGAAGAACACCAGUGGCGAAGGCGACUCGCUGGACAAGUAUUGACGCUGAGGUGCGAAAGCGUGGGGAGCAAACAGG
rnacentral:rRNA from 1 species